rnacentral:rRNA from 1 species
CCUACGGGAGGCAGCAGUGGGGAAUAUUGGACAAUGGGCGCAAGCCUGAUCCAGCAAUGCCGCGUGAGUGAUGAAGGCCUUAGGGUCGUAAAGCUCUUUUACCAGGGAUGAUAAUGACAGUACCUGGAGAAUAAGCUCCGGCUAACUCCGUGCCAGCAGCCGCGGUAAUACGGAGGGAGCUAGCGUUGUUCGGAAUUACUGGGCGUAAAGCGUACGUAGGCGAUUAUUCAAGUCAGAGGUGAAAGCCCGGGGCUCAACCCCGGAACGGCCUUUGAAACUAGGUAGCUAGAAUCUUGGAGAGGUCAGUGGAAUUCCGAGUGUAGAGGUGAAAUUCGUAGAUAUUCGGAAGAACACCAGUGGCGAAGGCGACUGACUGGACAAGUAUUGACGCUGAGGUACGAAAGCGUGGGGAGCAAACAGGAUUAGAUACCCUGGUAGUCCACGCCGUAAACGAUGAUAACUAGCUGUUCGGGCACUUGGUGCUUGAGUGGCGCAGCUACGCAUUAAGUUAUCCGUCCGUCGGGUAGGUACGGUCGCGAAGAAGUUAAAACUUAAAAUUAAGUAAGUUAGUACGGCGUGAGACGUGCCGACGGACGACGACGAGGGAGGUAGG